AGCUUUGCGCAGUGGCAGUAUCGUAGCCAAUGAGGUUUAUCCGAGGCGCGAUUAUUGCUAAUUGAAAAAUAACUGAUACUCUAGCUUUGCGCAGUGGCAGUAUCGUAGCCAAUGAGGUUUAUCCGAGGCGCGAUUAUUGCUAAUUGAAAAAUAAC
rfam:Tupaia chinensis contig36113, whole genome shotgun sequence.